rnacentral:rRNA from 1 species
UACGUAGGGCGCAAGCGUUGUCCGGAAUUAUUGGGCGUAAAGAGCUCGUAGGUGGCUUGUCGCGUCUGCCGUGAAAGCCCAUGGCUUAACUGUGGGUCUGCGGUGGAUACGGGCUGGCUAGAGGUAGGUAGGGGCAAGCGGAAUUCCUGGUGUAGCGGUGAAAUGCGUAGAUAUCUGGAGGAACACCGGUGGCGAAGGCGGCAUCCUGGACCGGCAUUGACGCUGAGGAGCGAAAGCCAGGGGAGCAAACGGG